rnacentral:rRNA from 1 species
AUUGGAUGAGCCCGCGGCCUAUCAGCUCGUUGGUGGGGUAACGGCCCACCAAGGCGACGACGGGUAGCUGGUCUGAGAGGACGGCCAGCCACACUGGGACUGAGACACGGCCCAGACUCCUACGGGAGGCAGCAGUGGGGGAUCUUGCGCUAAUGCGCGAAAGCGUGACGCAGCGACGCCGCGUGCGGGAUGAAGGCCCUCGGGUCGUAAACCGCUUUCGGCAGGGACGAAGCGAGAGUGACGGUACCUGCAGAAGAAGUCCCGGCUAACUACGUGCCAGCAGCCGCGGCCGAAU